CUCCCGCGGCAUAUGGAGGUUCCCAGGCUAGGGUCCAAUCGGAGCUGUAGCCACCAGCCUACACCACAGCCACGUGGGAUCCAAGCUGUGUCUGCAACCUACACCACAGCUCAUGGCAAUGCCAGAUCCUUAACCCACUGAACAAGGCCAGGGAUUGAACCUGCAAAGUCAUGGUUCCUAAUUGUAUUAGUUAACCACUGGAGAGCUAUUUUCUAUGGGACUUGAUGUCCAAUUAAGCACCAACAUAAAAAACUUAUCCUGAUAUUUAAUAUUUCUUCAGGAGGUACACACCCUAGAUUUAUAGUGCAUAGUUUCAAGUCAUCCACCCAAAAUGUCGAUUCACUUGUAAAAUGUUACAAUUACUGUGUACAUAAUAGGAUAACUUAUACAAGUAUAACCACAACAAAUACUUAUAUUGUUCUAAACCCAUUUGACCCUGAACAAGGGUUUGAAUUUAGAAAGUGCUCUUAUAUGAAGAUUUUUUUCAUUAAAUAUGUACUACACCCGAGGUUGGCUGAAUCUAUAGAUAGCAAGAGCCACGAUAAAAUUACCUGUGAAAUUUUUUACCUCAAAGGGGUUGGUGACCCAACUCUCAUAUUGUUCAGGGUCAAAUUUAUUAGUUUAUUUAAACCAGGUGACUUUGAAGAAGAUAUCCCAACCUCAAAGAGAAACCGUUUUUUUGCCUAUGCCCACAGCAUGUGGAACUUCCAGGGCCAGGUAUCAAACCUGCACCACAGCACUGAUAAUACCAGAUUCUUAACCCACUGAGCCACAAGAGAACUCCAAGAGAAAUAAGUAUGAUUUUAAAAAUAACUUACAGUAGUUCCCAUCUUGGCACAGCGGAAACGAAUCUGACUAGGAACCAUGAGGUUGCACGUUCGAUCCCUGGCCUUGCUCAGUGGGUUAAGGAUCCAGCGUUGCCAUGAGCUGUGGUGUAGGUCGCAGACAGCCUGAGCUCUGAUGUAGGUCAUAGAUGCACCUCAGAUCUUGCAUUGCUGUGGCUGCAGUAUAGUCCAGCAGCUGCAGCUCUGAUUCCACCCCUAGCCUGGGAACUUCCAUAUGCCACAGGUGUGCCCCUAAAAAGACAAAAAGUCAAAAAAAAAAAAAAAAAAAAAGAAAAUUAUCAAGUGAAAACUGCCUAAGUAUCCAUCAAAAGGGCACUCGUUAAGUAAAUUAUAAGAUGGAAUAUUACAUAAUCACUAAAAAAAAAAAAAAAGUUAAAGAGACUAGAAAUAUUAGGGGUUAAAAACAAGUUACACGUGAAUAUAUGUCCUUAUGUGCAGAGUACCUAGAAGAAUACUAACAGUAAUUGUACCUCAAGAGUUAGAUGAAAUAAGCUGAGACAGGAACUGAACAUUUCCCCCACUGAUAGAAGAGUAAUUUUUUUCUUGCUUUUCCGGGCCACACCCACAGCAUAUGGAGGUUCUAAGGCUGGGGGUUGAAUUAGAGCUACAGCUGACAGCCUACACCACAGCCACAGCAAUGCAGGAUCCAAGGCACGUCUUCAACCAACACCAGAGCUCAGAACACCAGAUCCUUAAUCCACUGAGCAAGGCCAGGGAUCAAACCCACAAUUUCAUUGUUCCUAGUUUCCACUGCGCCACGAUGGGAACUCCCAGAAGAGUUAAUUUUCAAAAACAAAAUAUUAGGUCAGGAGAUUCCACCAUGGCUCAGAGGUAACAAACCCAACUAGAAUCCAUGAGGACUCGGAAUCGAUCCCUGGCCUCGAUCAGUGGGUUGGGAAUGUGGCGUUGCUGUGAACUGUGGUAUAGGUUAAAGCUGCAACUCAGCUCCUGCAUGGUUGUGGCAUAUGUAAGCCAGCAGCUAAAGCUCUGAUUCAACCCCCUAGCUUGGCAACUUCCAUAUGCCCCAGGUGUGGCCCUACACACACACACACACAUACACACACACACAAACAAGGUCAGUAAAGUCUUUUUGCAUAUUCCAAGAUUCUCUCUAUAAAAAAUUCCAAUCUAUGGAGGUCUGUGUGAACCUCACUCACUGUGUAGAAGAGUUAAUUUAACACAGAAGGCCAGAGAUUGCUAUGCUUAGGAAGAGCUUGCCAGGUUAGCCCUUGGAUGGUGUCAAAACUUGGAUUUUCAGACAACUAAUCCUCAGUGCUAGAACUAGUAAGAGUGGCUCACUGUGCCUAAACUGUACCCCAAAGAGGUGGUUCAUGUUGAAUACCCACCUUCCUUCUGGGAACCUGGAAUUUUGGUAUCUGGUAGGCAGAGGGUGCCGACAUGACCAACCCAGGUGACAAGUCUCUAAUGAGCUUCCCUGCCAGGCAACAUUUCAUACACAUGCGGUCACAACUGCUGGAGGAAUGAAGUGUGUCCUGUAUGACUCCACUGGGAGAGACAUUAGGAGAGGCUCAUAUGCUUGGGAGAAUGAGCCUAGCUUCCUCUGGACUUCACCCCAUAUGCAUUUUCCCUUUCCUAAUCUUGCUUUGUAUCCUUUUGUUGCAAUAAAUCAUAGCCCUGAGUACAAUUAUAUGCCAAGUUAGGGAAGUCUUUCUAGGGAAUUACUAAACCUGGGGUUGGAGGUAGUCCUGGGACCCCCACCCCAACAUACUCAUCCUACUAGUAGCCAAGAGGAAAUGCCUUCUAAACUUAACUGGGACUCAAUUUAUGGGUUUCCUUUCCACAUGUGCAGAAUUCAGUUCAGAAUUUAGUAUUUUAUCAUAAAGACAAUCCUAGAUGCUAUAUGGAUUGGCUUGGGUAUCUUUUAGGGAAUAGAGAGUAGCAGUCUUAUGAGAUGUUCACCAAAUCGGUUUCCUCCUCCUAGCUAAACAGCUAGACCGUAUUUCUCAGCCUCUCCUGCAUAGGUGUGACCAAGCCUCAAAGAAGUGCAGGCCAAAAUACUAGCCACUCCCAGACCUGAUCCAUAAAACCUCCUACUCAUGAUCAUCUGGUUCUUUCACCAACUGCCAGCUGAAUGAAUAGAACUCCCAAGACCUAGAAGAGGACAGUGCCACAGAUGGAAGGAGCCUGUGUUCUUGAAUUACUACAUAAAAGGCAACCUAAUAAACAUUCUCAAUGAAAGUUAUCUGAGUAUAAAUGUUUGCUCUGCUAAGGCACUGGUAUUUUGAGGUUGUUUGUGGCCAACACUAGCCUGCUUUGCCUACCAACAAAGGAUAUGAUCAGGUUAAAAAUUUUAGACGUGUGGAGUUCCCGUCGUGGCGCAGUGGUUAACGAAUCCGACUAGGAACCAUGAGGUUGCGGGUUCGGUCCCUGUCCUUGCUCAGUGGGUUAACGAUCCGGCGUUGCCGUGAGCUGUGGUGUAGGUUGCAGACGCGGCUCAGAUCCCGCGUUGCUGUGGCUCUGGUGUAGGCCGGUGGCUACAGCUCCGAUUCAACCCCUGGCCUGGGAACCUCCAUAUGCCACGGGAGCGGCCCAAGAAAUAGCAACAACAACAAAAGACCAAAAAAAAAAAAAAAAAAUUUAGACGUUACUCUUGACAAUGCGAAAAAAUGAGAAAGAAAAGAUUAAGUCAGAGAAAUUAAGACCUAUCAAGUGGGGAAAAGUGAAUGCAUUCAAGAGAGAACUGCAAGGGCUCUAAAACUGUGAAGAAUAAAAAAAUAAAUGGAGUUUCCUUGUGGCGCAGCAGGUUAAGGAUCCAGUG
ensembl:lncRNA